rnacentral:rRNA from 1 species
CCUACGGGGGGCAGCAGUGGGGAAUAUUGCACAAUGGGGGAAACCCUGAUGCAGCGACGCCGCGUGAGUGAAGAAGUAUUUCGGUACGUAAAGCUCUAUCAGCAGGGAAGAAAUAAAGUCCUUUGGACUUUGGACGGUACCUGACUAAGAAGCCCCGGCUAACUACGUGCCAGCAGCCGCGGUAAUACGUAGGGGGCAAGCGUUAUCCGGAUUUACUGGGUGUAAAGGGAGCGUAGACGGCAUAGCGAGUCUGAAGUGAAAGCCCAAGGCUCAACCAUGGGACUGCUUUGGAAACUGUUAAGCUA